rnacentral:rRNA from 1 species
UCGUGUCGUGAGAUGUUGGGUUAAGUCCCGUAACGAGCGCAACCCUUGUCCUUAGUUACCAGCACGUUAUGGUGGGCACUCUAAGGAGGACUGCCGGUGACAAACCGGAGGAAGGUGGGGAUGACGUCAAGUCAUCAUGGCCCUUACGGCCUGGGCUACACACGUGCUACAAUGGUCGGUACAAAGGGUUGCCAAGCCGCGAGGUGGAGCUAAUCCCAUAAAACCGAUCGUAGUCCGGAUCGCAGUCUGCAACUCGACUGCGUGAAGUCGGAAUCGCUAGUAAUCGUGAAUCAGAAUGUCACGGUGAAUACGUUCCCGGGCCUU